AAACGUUUGUACAAGAGGAUGAACUUCAAUGUUUGCAUCAUUUCCCCUGUUUUAUACUCUCCUCGCAUAGACUACAGCUGAGAGUUUUAGAGAAAAGGCGCUUUCGGCAAGUGCAAAGUGGUAUUGUCAUGUUGCUACUGGAGCUGACUCUGAGAGCCAAGAAAAUAGGACAGAAUAAAAAGGAAGUAAAAUAAGUCAUAGUGAAACCUUCUCCCUCAGAGGAAGGAAAGCAAACAUUGAAAUAUUGCUUUUUCCUGGCUGCUUAUUAAAGGGGAAAUUUGCCUACUGUGCUGGAAGAGUCUUUUAUUCAUCGUUCUGUUGAUGUGAAGCAUCCAACUGGAGCAUUGAUAAGAUGAUAUCUUCCAACCAUAAUUACAUCCAAAGUUGUACAAGUGGGCCCAGACCUCCAAGAAGUUAGGAAAACCAAGAAGAUUCAGUUUAAGGAAACUCAUUAAGAUCCUAUGGAGAAAGAACCCAAGUAUGAAGUAGGUCAAACUGUCUCCCUGGUCAUGCCCUUCAGGCACUGCUGACUGGUUUCUAGCUCAGCGGAGGUAGACGGGGUGUGGAUGGAUUCCUCCACUGCAGAGCUCCUCAGUUUGGGCUCAAACCCAAGGAGAAGGUGUCUGUGUGGAGCCUAUAACCAGGAGUCUCAGAUGUCCUGUAAAAUGCCCUCAGUUUCUUCAGAUUGGGAUUUUUCCUCAUGAAAAGCUUGAUAUCCCAGACACCUGACACUGGUUGGAAAGGAGAGUCAUAAAGGCAAUCGCAGGAAGUGAGAGUCUCUAAGUCUCUGGAGGUGGUAACAACCCAAAAUAUCACACAAAGAAUCCCAUCUGGUAUCCUCUUCAUCAUCCAGUGGCCAAUCAAGAGCCUAUUUAUACCCUGAGUUUCUGACUAGUUACUUCUGACCCUAAUUAUCUCAUGCAGCACUUUCCAGUUUGUAUCUGAACCAUUUCCUACUCAGUAUAUUUUUAGGAAGCUCCUCCUCUGCUGACUCUGCCAAGCAAUCCUGGGAAUGCUUCUUGAAGAGACUGUUCACAGCCUUGAAUUUGAAAAUGCUUAAUCAGGAUUCAAAGCCUGCUUCACUGGUAUGGAGGGUUGUUUUCUGUGAAGGCAUCAAUCUCCACACAGAAGAGUGACUUUGAAGGGGACUAACCCCUCAUGGAGGCCUACAAUGUGGUUCCAUCCUCAUACUUCAUUCAGGAAUGACACUGAUGAAAAGAAGGAAGGGCUGAGGUGACACAAGCCUCAAUACCGUACACUUGGAUCUGUGGAUGUUUUCUGGUUUAAGUUUCGCAUGUUUUAGACCCCAUUUCUCUCCUUUCCAUGAACUGUGAACCCCCUGGACCUUUAUCAUGCCUAUCUCAUCUUAAAAGGAUUCCUUAGUUUCUUACUCAAUAUAAUUUUGUUUAUAUGUGGUUGAAAUACAAGCAUACUAAACCCUUGUUAAA